rnacentral:tRNA from 1 species
GAGGGUAUAGUUCAAGUGGUAGAGUGCAUGUUUAGCAUGGACAAGGUCCUGGGUUCAAUCCCCAGUACCUCCU